rnacentral:rRNA from 1 species
CCUACGGGAGGCAGCAGUGGGGCAUAUUGGGCAAUGGGCGCACGCCUGACCCAGCAACGCCGCGUGAAGGAAGAAGGCUUUCGGGUUGUAAACUUCUUUUCUCAGGGACGAAGAAAGUGACGGUACCUGAAGAAUAAGCCACGGCUAACUACGUGCCAGCAGCCGCGGUAAUAAGUAGGUGGCAAGCGUUAUCCGGAUUUACUGGGUGUAAAGGGCGUGUAGGCGGGACUGCAAGUCAGAUGUGAAAACCACGGGCUCAACCUGUGGCCUGCAUUUGAAACUGUAGUUCUUGAGUACUGGAGAGGCAGACGGAAUUCCUAGUGUAGCGGUGAAAUGCGUAGAUAUUAGGAGGAACACCAGUGGCGAAGGCGGUCUGCUGGACAGCAACUGACGCUGAGGCGCGAAAGCGUGGGGAGCAAACAGGAUUAGAUACCCCAGUAGUC